ACCCCAUGCUUUAAAUUCCCCAUGGCCUUUGUGGUACACAUCUAGCAAACCCACACUUUACUGACUGUACCUUUCUCUUAAGCCCAGAAUUGCUGUCACAUGAAAGAAAACACAAACUUAGUUCAGAAACAAUGGUAACCCAAUCUCUGGGCUCAACAACUAAAACCUAAUCCUGUAAGCCUUAUUAAAAUCUGAUUCCUUUGGUGGCAAAUCCUUGUGGAUCCGCCAAGAUACAGGGAAACUCUAGCAGCUACAUCUUAACCCCCUGCUGUCCUGUUCCAGAAGGACCUAACUCUCUCUUGCUACCUCUCCUCCUUUGUACAACUCAGAAGUCCCGCCUACUCGCCCAGUGAUUGGCUCCUUUAUUCAUUAGUGAUUGGUUCACAGGAACAGCACCAGGCCCACCCACAACACAGAUCUGCCCAGAAACUGAGCAACACCCCAACACCCUGUAUAACUCUUAUGAGCUGUCCCAACACUGCACAGGCCUCACACCUCCCCAUAUCCCCCCGCUCCUCCUUGCCCUGUGUCCUGACUGCUGUCUUCUGACUUUGACUUUUCUGCCCUUUGCCCCUGGUCUGAUCUCAAGGGCAAACCCUUUCUGGAGUCAGAAGGGAUAUGUCCUGGUUGUGGAAGGUUGGGCAACAAUAAUGGCUUCUACAAACUCAGGAGGAACUGUGCUCCACCUCCCUGCACAUGGGCCCUGAGCACAAACACUAUUGCUGGUGCCAAGAAGUGCUUGCUGACAGGAACCUGAUAUGGCUGCUCUACCAAUACACCAAUACGCACCUGACCAAUACAGUUGCAGAUACUCACAGGCAACCACCAGACUGAGCCUGGAGACCCCAAUGGAGGAGUAAGGGGAAGGACUGAAGGAGCUGAAGGGGAUUGCAACCCCAUAGGAAGAACAAUAUCAACUAACUGGACCACCCAGAGCUCUCAGAGACUAAAUGACCAACCAAAGUAUAUACAUGGAGGGAUCCAAGGCUCCAGAUACAGAUAAGGAUGGCCUUAUUUGACAUCACUGGGAGGAGAGGCCUUUGGUCCUGGGGAUGCUAGAGGGGUGAGUUAGUAGUGGGUGAAUGGGUGGAAGAGCAUACUCAUAGAGGCAAAUGGGAGGGGGGAGAAGGGAAUGAGAUGGGGGUUUGUGGUGGGGUAACUGGGAAGGGUGAUAUCAUUUGAAAUGUAAAUGAUUAAUUUGAAUAAAACGAUUAAUAAUUACAAAAGAAAGCUAGUUAGCUAUAGCAUUUGUUAUCCAAUCUAUGAAUGCUAAGAAUGUGCAGGUAUAAAUAGAGCUUUGAUCUGAACAAAUGAUUUGAACAGUCUGAAAGGCAGGACCAAAUGACCUAGCUGCUCUGAAAAUGUCUGAGAAGCAAGUCUUCAGAGGGAAAAGCUUCAAUGACGGUAAGGCAGGAUCAAGCAGGGAGCUGGGAAAACGCGACUCUGCAUCUCAGCCUCCCCAAGGGCGGAGCCUGUCAGGGUGGCCCUCCUGGUCUUCUAUUCUGCGAUACUCAAACUUCACAAGCAAUGCAGAGGACUGUGAAGGCGUCUGUGUGAACAUGCAGCAUGCCCAGCACAAUCAAGUUCGAUUUCAUGCUUUCUGUCAGCAACUGAAAAACAACUGCCUUUCUUUAGAAGCUAGUUUGAUCAUACAAUCAAACUGCAACACAAAUCUCUAUUCAUGCCAUUAUGCUAUGCAAUAACAAGUCUGAGAAUUUGGUAGCCAGCAGGACUUACUGGCCAUGAAAGCUGAAGUUCUGGCUGGAGAUGUAUAAUGUCCCAGUCAGUUUCUGAUUUGUUUUAAUAGAGGGUUUGACGUUGAACAUUGCCAGUUUGUUUGACCCUUUAAUUUUCUUCUUGUCUAUACAGUUGAGAUCAUCAGGAGGUCAGCCCCUGUCAUGUGUGAUUUUUAUCAGUUUGGAAAGAACUCAAAGCUUUUCUUUUCCUGUGGAAAUAUAGGCAUGACCUCUCUCCCCCAGUGUAACACAUUUCUUGUUUUCUAUUCUGAGGUUAGGACAUAAACAGGCUGGUAGGUUCAGCAGUCCCCUCCCUCCCCCAGUAAUCCAACGUCUCUCAGAAACUGCAGCUUUUUUUGUUAUCAUUCAAAAAACCACUUAAUAAAACAUUAUGUAAUC
rnacentral:lncRNA from 1 species